GACGAACCGUGCGAACGUUGUUCGGAAUCACUGGGCUUAAAGGGCGCGUAGGCGGAUAUCCAAGUCAGGGGUGAAAUCUUUCAGCUUAACUGGAAAAGUGCCUUUGAUACUGGAUGUCUGGAGUGAGGUAGGGGCAUGCGGAACUUCCGGUGGAGCGGUGAAAUGCGUAGAUAUCGGAAGGAACACCGGUGGCGAAGGCGGCGUGCUGGACCUCAACUGACGCUGAGGCGCGAAAGCCAGGGGAGCAAACGGG
rnacentral:rRNA from 1 species